rnacentral:misc_RNA from 1 species
CAAAUAUCUGGGACACCUUUCAGGUUCCCUGACCAAACACAUUUCUGUGUACUCCUCCAUGUUGCUUUCCCAGGCCAGCAGCCACUGCUGCCAGUUCAUACUCCUAAUGGUGGUAGAGCUGAGGUGCCUGGGUAAGGGCCCAUAAUUAAACUAGUGUAUCAACCUGCAGUCUGAGAAGACCAUGUGUCGAAAAAAUUGAAAUUGUUA